AUGCAUCUUUAUUAUUUUAAAGAUAGAAUUAUCAUUUCUAAUGAAAUCCGUCUCUUUUAUAUUUUUUCAGUACCUUUUCUCCAGGAAAACAUUUCCUUCUAUGUAAAGGAGGUUGGAACAACUCAAGUUGUAUUUAGUUGGAAUAAUUUGAGUGGUUGGAAUAAGUUGAAUAAGUGGCUGAACCUGGGAUAUAAAAUCAUCAUUAAAUAUUAUUUAGAUUAUACAGAAGGACAACAUUUUGAAAGCAUCCCCCCAAAUACCACAGAAAAAGCAAUUACCCAUCUGUCUCCCGGCCAUGUUUACAGAUUUUCAUUGUUUGCAAUAAAUGAAUGGGAGGCAAAAACUACUUUAAGUCCAAUAUUCAUUGUCGAAACACGCCCAUUAUCAGCCAAAAAUGUCACAAUUACGCAUGUGACCCCAACAGAAAUAUUUUUGCACUGGGAGGCUCCAGAUCCAGUGUCUUUUCACCAUUAUUUGGUGACUAUUUUGGAUGUUGAAAACAAUGAAACGGAGGAGGUGUUUAUUGAAAAGCUCAACACUUCAACAACAAUUGGAAAUCUCACAUCUUUCCAUCAUUAUCUGAUACAUCUAUUCACGGUAGCAGAAAGGGGAACUUUAAGCGGCUUCAAGAAACCUAUUUCAGUGGUUACAGGUAUUAAUCCACCUCAGAUCAUUUAUGUGAAACUUGAAGAUGUGAGAGAGGACAGUGUAAAUCUUCAGCGGGAACUCCCACAGACAGCCAUGGGGUCUACAUUCAAAUCACAUCCGCAUCAGAUACAAGAGGAGUCAGGAAGCUUUUUGUAA
rnacentral:lncRNA from 1 species